UACGUAGGUGGCAAGCGUUGUCCGGAUUUACUGGGCGUAAAGGGCGUGCAGGCGGUCUGUUAAGUGCAGGGUGAAAGCUCCCGGCUCAACUGGGAGAGGUCCUUGCAUACUGGCGGACUUGAGGGGGGUAGAGGAAAGUGGAAUUCCUGGUGUAGCGGUGAAAUGCGCAGAUAUCAGGAGGAACACCAAGUGCGAAGGCAGCUCGCUGGGACGUUACUGACGCUGAGACGCGAAAGCGUGGGGAGCAAACAGG
rnacentral:rRNA from 1 species